CUCAGAUUUGUCCGCCUUAACCAAUCAUAGAUGGGCAUUGGACUCAGAUGUUAUUAGAUUCAUUAAAGGAGUCCUUAAAAUUAAACCUCCAAUUAAGCCAUUUGUUCCCUCCUGGAAUCUCCCUUUGGUUCUGAACGCCUUAGAAUUGGAACCCUUUGAAACCCUUGAAUCAGUUCCUCUACAGGUUCUGUCUAUCAAGACAGCUUUGCUGAUCGCCCUAGCUUCCGGCAGGAGAGUUUCGGAACUCCACGCCCUAUCCAUUAAGGAACCCUUUACGGUCUUUCAUAAGGACAGAGUUAUCCUCUGUACUGUUCCUGAAUUUAGACCUAAAGUCACCUCCGCCUUUCACAUUAACGAAGAUAUUGUUCUCCCAUCUCUGAGGCCCGAAUGCCAAGAAAGCGAGAAUUCAACUGACCUGUCAUCUCUGGACCUAGUGAGAUGCCUUCGUAUCUAUAUUGAAAGGACUGCUGCUUGACGCAUUUCUCAAAGUCUCUUGGUCCUUCAUAGUGGUAGAAGAAAAGGAUUGCAAGCCCCUAAAUCUACCAUUAGCAGGUGGAUAGUGGCAGCCAUUAUACGGGCUUAUCAAUCUUCUGGAUAUCCGGUCCCUGUCGGUCUUAAAGCCCAUUCCACUAGGGCCCUCUCAUCUUCCUGGGCAGCAGCGGCUAAU